rnacentral:lncRNA from 1 species
UCCAACUAUCAUCCACCAAGCAUUGGGGAUGAGUUGGACAGAAUAAAGCUGAUACCACCCUAACAAUUCGGCAAAGACUUCAAAAAUCGAAAGCUAUAGGCCAGCCCUGAAAGCCUCCUCAUAUAAGACUCCUCUAUUCUCUUGAGAGGAAGUUAUCCUGAUAAAGAGGCCGGGUGCUUUGAGAACUAUGCUAUCUGAGAUCUCGAUCUCCCUCUAGAUCCGCCCA